UACGGGGGGGGCAAGCGUUGUUCGGAAUUACUGGGCGUAAAGGGUUUGUAGGUGGCUUGUUAAGUCAGACGUGAAAUCCCUCAGCUUAACUGGGGAACUGCGUCUGAGACUGGUGAGCUUGGGUGCAGGAGAGGAACGCGGAAUUCCAGGUGUAGCGGUGAAAUGCGUAGAUAUCAGGAGGAACACCAAUGGCGAAGGCAGCACUCUGGGACGUGACUGACGCUGAGACGCGAAAGCGUGGGGAGCAAACAGG
rnacentral:rRNA from 1 species